GACGAACGCUGGCGGCGUGCUUAACACAUGCAAGUCGAACGGAAAGGCCCUGCUUUUGUGGGGUGCUCGAGUGGCGAAUGGGUGAGUAACACGUGAGUAACCUGCCCUUGACUUUGGGAUAACUUCAGGAAACUGGGGCUAAUACCGGAUAGGAGCUCCUGCUGCAUGGUGGGGGUUGGAAAGUUUCGGCGGUUGGGGAUGGACUCGCGGCUUAUCAGCUUGUUGGUGGGGUAGUGGCUUACCAAGGCUUUGACGGGUAGCCGGCCUGAGAGGGUGACCGGCCACUGGGACUGAGAUACGGCCCAGACUCCUACGGGAGGCAGCAGUGGGGAAUAUUGCACAAUGGGCGGAAGCCUGAUGCAGCAACGCCGCGUGCGGGAUGACGGCCUUCGGGUUGUAAACCGCUUUCGCCUGUGACGAAGCGUGAGUGACGGUAAUGGGUAAAGAAGCACCGGCUAACUACGUGCCAGCAGCCGCGGUGAUACGUAGGGUGCGAGCGUUGUCCGGAUUUAUUGGGCGUAAAGGGCUCGUAGGUGGUUGAUCGCGUCGGAAGUGUAAUCUUGGGGCUUAACCCUGAGCGUGCUUUCGAUACGGGUUGACUUGAGGAAGGUAGGGGAGAAUGGAAUUCCUGGUGGAGCGGUGGAAUGCGCAGAUAUCAGGAGGAACACCAGUGGCGAAGGCGGUUCUCUGGGCCUUUCCUGACGCUGAGGAGCGAAAGCGUGGGGAGCGAACAGGCUUAGAUACCCUGGUAGUCCACGCUGUAAACGGUGGGUACUAGGUGUGGGGUCCAUUCCACGGGUUCCGUGCCGUAGCUAACGCUUUAAGUACCCCGCCUGGGGAGUACGGCCGCAAGGCUAAAACUCAAAGGAAUUGACGGGGCCCCGCACAAGCGGCGGAGCAUGCGGAUUAAUUCGAUGCAACGCGUAGAACCUUACCUGGGUUUGACAUGGAUCGGGAGUGCUCAGAGAUGGGUGUGCCUCUUUUGGGGUCGGUUCACAGGUGGUGCAUGGCUGUCGUCAGCUCGUGUCGUGAGAUGUUGGGUUAAGUCCCGCAACGAGCGCAACCCUUGUUCACUGUUGCCAGCACGUUAUGGUGGGGACUCAGUGGAGACCGCCGGGGUCAACUCGGAGGAAGGUGGGGAUGACGUCAAGUCAUCAUGCCCCUUAUGUCCAGGGCUUCACGCAUGCUACAAUGGCUGGUACAGAGAGUGGCGAGCCUGUGAGGGUGAGCGAAUCUCGGAAAGCCGGUCUCAGUUCGGAUUGGGGUCUGCAACUCGACCUCAUGAAGUCGGAGUCGCUAGUAAUCGCAGAUCAGCAACGCUGCGGUGAAUACGUUCCCGGGGCU
rnacentral:rRNA from 1 species